UAUAAAUGUACAUGUAUCAACAUACGCGGACAAUCAGGAUGGACACCACCCAGGCAAUCGUAACCGCCAAGCCACACACGGGGCAUACUGACAGGGCUGGGUAUUCUUCAACUCAAGCUCACAGUACCGAUGCCACACUCAAUAUGGAGGCGUACAGCUGCUACUGGUAUAUACGUGAAAAAGGCGUGAGGCAGAGCGGAAAGAAGAGUACGAGGCUCGAGCAUUAGCUGUCGCUAAUGUCGUUUUCUAUGCUGGCAGAAAAAACCGCCAUUGCGAAUCUGACGCGUGUGGAUGAUUUUAAAAGUAAUGGUAAUGACGGGGUAGCAAACAAGGACAACUGCUGAAAUUAAAACUAAAGCAAGGCUGAUCCACCAGCAGCAAUUUCACCCCCGCGUAAUUCUUCGGAACAAUCGCCGUGCCCAUCUGAACUUACGGCACGUCAAACUGACGGACGACACGUAAAUCAAUAUCGCUGAAACCCGGUACUGCUGUCUACAAGAAGUGAAUGAAUAUGUAGCGAUAGGAUUUGUCCCGUGCCAGUGAUUCGGUGAGCGAUACGAAGUGAUGUGAGGUCUCAUAUUGCCGUUUGCUGACGGCCUUCACCAGACGAACCAGCGAGCCUAUGUUGUCGUCCCAUAUCGUGGGGGUGGUUUUGCUGAAAGCAGAAACUCCAUUCAGAUGAUGCUUCUCCUGUUGCUGGCGGUGCUGGCCGAAGUAAUGCGAAUCCCGCCUGAACUGGUCGUCUUUCCAGUGGUUACGCAAUUAUACGCACACAAAAAACAGCAACAACAGGCCGAAAUACGUACGUAUAUAGUGUAGCUUAUGGAGCCUAGUAGUCGGAUGAACGGAUCACG